rnacentral:tRNA from 1 species
UCCUGGGUGGCUCGGUCGGUUAAGCAUCUGACUUCAGCUCAGGUCAUGAUGUCGCAGUCCGUGGGUUCAAGCCCCACAUCAGGCU